GGCAGGUUGCUGAAGGGAGAGGACACAGACUGCAGGCUCUCCCCAGGGAGCGUCUGCAGGCCCUGACCCCAGGAGCAGGACAUGUAGAGGCCCAGACAGACUCCAGAAUGCCUGAUGAGCCCCAGAAAGAGACCGUACUGGAGGGAGCUAGGCCAUUGCAGACCCGGGGGAAACAUGGAGCUUCACUGAGGGAGAAAGGGGAGGAAGCAGCCCAGGAGACUUAGAAUCUUCUCCGGUGACUUAAAGGAGGAACUGGUCAGCGUGUUUCGGGAGGAUCCCCGCUGUCUCGGUGGUAUAAAUGAUGACAUAAUGUGCGGGGUGGAGGAGAACUGGGCUCCAUGAAUCAAUACCAAUGUGAACAAGAUCUGACUACAGGGAAAAGAGUGACUGUCACUGGAGAAAUCCUUGAAAAAACCACUUGUGUCUGACAGGAGAAGAGACAUCUGAACUGCCCAAUAAUUUUUUCAAACUCAGACGACAACUCCCAGAUGCACUGGAUCUAGCAAUUGCACAAUAUACCCAAGCCCUUCGGAGCAGAAAUUGGGUUCUGAGAAAUUUCUGCAGACAUGACUGUAGAAUCAGGGGGAUGUUAUUCCAAGACCCUGGCAGCACGGAGAGUGAAGAACACUUCCUUAGUAAGAGGUGUAAAGCAGCAGGGGUCAAGAAUAAAGACGAGUAUUGAAGCCAAGGACUGACCAAUUUGGAAAAGUUGGAGUUUCUGCAGGCAGUGGGAGAGGGGUGAUAGUUUCCUGUGUGCUUACUGCUCAGUGAGUACCAAUGGACUGGAUGUUAUCCAAACUGCCCUGUAGCAUUAGGGUUGAUGCCAUCUAGAGGGUUACCUACAGAAGUUAAAAUAGUCACAUGUCCCUAGUAUCACAUCUAAUCCAACAUACUGGACCAAAUUCAUCAUGGUGUAGGCCCAAUGAAGCCAGUAGAAUUAUAGCAAGGAUGGAUUUUAUCCACUGAGUAGCAGAGGGUGAUGGUGCAUGCAUACAUUCAAGCAGUAAAUUAAAGCAGUGCAGAGGGAAAGGGAAGAGAGUAGAUGGUCUCUGAAGAGAGAGAAAAUGCCUUUUAAAAGGGAAAGUCAGAUUGCCAUUGAGGAAUCCAAUCCUGGCAGGUCCGUUAGCUAAAUGGACUGUAGCCGCAGGGCAUGUUUCUGUGCUUUCAGCCAGAUCACCCCUUUUCACGAGAGAGCCCACAGCAAGGAGCUAAAGAGAAGGAAAUAAAUGUUGCAAAAAUUUCCCCCUGAACUUUCUGUUAGGAGGGCUGGGUUUACUUCACUUUAGCAAAGGCCAAACAGCUGGCUCCUGAAAUGGAACAUUUGGACACACACACAUAGAUAAGCAUGCUUUUGUUUUUUUAUCAGCCAAUCAUGUAGAAGUUGUGUAAAAAAAACAAACAAAACAAAACAAAACAAAAAAAAAACAAAAAAACCCCCAAAAACCCUGGAUGCUCCUACCACAAACUAUGACACACUGAAUAGUUAUACCAACUACCUUAGAAUAGUACAAAAUUAAAGCACAAAGGAGAGUACUAUCCCCAAAGCAUCACAUACUCAAUAAAAAUUUUAACAACCCCCAAAGUUGACAAGUAAUGUCAUUUUGGCAUCUUAUUAAAACUAGUUUUUCCUGUCUACUGGAAAAUGCACAUUACAUUACUAAGAAGGCAAUGAAAAUACUCACUGCUUACCUUGUUCUAAAGGUUCUGUCUCAAUUUCUCCUUGAGAAAUUUACCGAUUUAAUAAGCAAUGAUGAUGGUGUCCCAAACACCAGCAUAUGGUAAAUGUUUUCACCUUGGCAAAAUAAAUGUCUGAGCGUUUAAAUGUCUGAGCGUUUAUAUUGCUUUAUUGAUACAUGGACAUUUGCAUAAUAUUAUCUAUCAUUAUUUACAGUAAUGGUUAUUAAUUUGCUCCUGUAAUUGAUCUGAGGUAAAUAGCAACUGUGGCCCUGUCAGAUAAUUUAUUCUAUGCAACCCUUUUACAUGCAAGAUGAGGUUUGAUUAUAUUAUCUGGAGAUUUACAUGGAAUGUAAUAAUAUAUAUAUAUAUAUAUAUAUAUCCUUUCCUUUUUGGAUAAGGUUACUGAGGUAGGUAAGGUUCCCUUUUUGGUGAGGUUACUCUUGUGGCAAAAACUACUUGAGUGUCUACUGGGGGGCCCUGGUUUCCUUUAAUUGUUUAUUUAUGUGGUUGAAUUGUUCAUUUGCAUUUGCCUUUUCUGCCCCUACAAUAUGAAAUGUUCCAGAAUAUAAAUGUACAAAAUAAGCACCACCACAGCAGAAGUGCUGAGUAUUCCUUCUGGCAGAUUCUACCAUGGAUGCAGAUGAUUAUAGCCUCCAGUAGCACAAAUGUCUAAGCAGUCUCCCAGAGGAGUGUGUGUUAUAGUAAGCCAGUCCAAGAGUUCACAAAGGCAUGAGUUACUAUGGCAAGAGCUACAUCAUCUAAUGAGGUGCAGAUGGAAAAGGAGUUUCUAGCUACCAAGACAAACUGGAAAUCCAGGAGCAAUUGAGGAGCUGGAAGCAUCUCCGAGGUUAUGGACUUUCUUGACACAAUGGAGUCGUAUUCCUCAGCAAGACGGGCAAAUAUCUCAUCCCACCUGAGGUUUCUCCUUUCAUACCGGUAUCAGUGUUGUCUUGUUUGGAAUUUUUGGCAAAUUCACACUCAUCCAAGCUGGGAAUUCUGCAUCUGUUCAUUCUAGGCAGCUUAAAGUCCCCUUCGUGCUGCUGGAGCAGCUCAAAAGAAAGUUAACUUAGGCUGAGAAAUUGGCCUUUAAGUUUAUUUUUUCCCCAUCUUUUCAAAAUUACUAGGAUAGCAUCCAGGUUAAUCUCAAUUUUCCUGUUACACAGAGCCACUUAAAGUGAUAAUCUUUUGCAUAUGUGACUGGAUUUAGGGAUGUCACAUUACCGAAUUCUUCGUUUUACAACCUGGCUUUUUGGUGCAGUUUACUUCUGUGUAUCUGUAGCUGACUUGUCAUGACAACAAAGCAACUUCAGUGGGUAGAUUUACUAUGUAAUAAUUGGACUUUAGAGCAAUUGCAAA